GCCUGGAUAGCUCAGUUGGUUAGAGCAUGGUGCUGGUAAUGCUAAGGUUGCAGGUUCAAUAUUGCCCCAUAUA